UACAGAGGGUGCGAGCGUUGUCCGGAAUCACUGGGCGUAAAGGGCGCGUAGGCGGCCUGAUAAGUAGGGGGUGAAAUCCUGUGGCUCAACUGCAGGGCUGCCUCCUAGACUGUCGGGCUUGAGCACGGUAGAGGCAGAUGGAAUUCCCGGUGUAGCGGUGGAAUGCGUAGAGAUCGGGAAGAACAUCGGUGGCGAAGGCGGUUCUCUGGGCAUUACCUGACGCUGAGGAGCGAAAGUGUGGGGAGCGAACAGG
rnacentral:rRNA from 1 species